rnacentral:rRNA from 1 species
UACGUAGGGGGCAAGCGUGGUCCGGAUUUAUUGGGCGUAAAGAGCUCGUAGGCGGUGUGUCGCGUCGGCCGUGAAAACCUGCAGCUUAACUGUGGGCUUGCGGUCGAUACGGGCAUCACUGGAGUUCGGCAGGGGAGACUGGAAUUCCUGGUGUAGCGGUGAAAUGCGCAGUUAUCAGGAGGAACACCGGUGGCGAAGGCGGGUCUCUGGGCCGAUACUGACGCUGAGGAGCGAAAGCGUGGGGAGCGAACAGG